rnacentral:lncRNA from 1 species
GUAGAGGCAGAGGCAACCGUGGCAGAGGCACUUACAGAAGUAGUUUUGCCUAUAAAGAUCAGAAUGAAAAUCGGUGGCAAAAUCGAAAACCCCUCUCAGGGAAUUCAAACAGUUCAGGGAGUGAAUCUUUCAAGUUUGUGGAACAGCAAUCCUAUAAGCGAAAAAGUGAACAGGAGUUCUCAUUUGAUACACCAGCAGAUAGAUCUGGAUGGACAUCUGCAUCCAGCUGGGCCGUGAGAAAGACUUUGCCAGCAGAUGUACAAAACUACUACUCACGACGAGGCAGAAAUUCUUCAGGUCCACAGUCUGGAUGGAUGAAACAAGAGGAGGAAACAUCUGGACAGGGGUAUUCCUAGUUCUUCUCAUGUAAGUAAUAACAUGAGUACACCAGUUUUGCCUGCUCCGACAGCAGCCCCAGGAAAUACGGGAAUGGUUCAGGGACCAAGUUCUGGUAAUACUUCGUCAUCAAGUCACAGCAAAGCCUCUAAUGCUGCUGUAAAAUUGGCAGAAAGCAAAGUAAGUGUUGCAGUGGAAGCCAGCGCAGAUAGCUCGAAGACAGACAAGAAAUUGCAAAUUCAAG